AUCGAACGCUGGCGGCAUGCCUAACACAUGCAAGUCGAACGAGUGGCGGACGGGUGAGUAAUGUCUGGGAAACUGCCUGAUGGAGGGGGCUAACUACUGGAAAACGUAGCUAAUAGUGCAUACCAUCAGUUGUGGCCAGAUGGGAUUAGCUAGUUGGUGGGGUAACGGCUCACCAAGGGGACGAUCCCUAGCUGGUCUGAGAGGAUGACCGGCCACACUGGGACUGAGACACGGCCCAGACUCCUACGGGAGGCAGCAGUGGGGAAUCUUGGACAAUGGGCGAAAGCCUGAUGCAGCCAUGCCGCGUGAAUGAAGAAGGCCUUCGGAUUGUAAAGUACUGUUGGCGGGGAGGCGUUACCCGCAGAAGAAGCACCGGCUAACGCCGUGCCAGCAGCCGCGGUAAUAC
rnacentral:rRNA from 1 species